CCUACGGGAGGCAGCAGUGGGGAAUCUUGCGCAAUGGGCGAAAGCCUGACGCAGCCAUGCCGCGUGAAUGAUGAAGGUCUUAGGAUUGUAAAAUUCUUUCACCGGGGACGAUAAUGACGGUACCCGGAGAAGAAGCCCCGGCUAACUUCGUGCCAGCAGCCGCGGUAAUACGAAGGGGGCUAGCGUUGCUCGGAAUUACUGGGCGUAAAGGGAGCGUAGGCGGAUAGUUUAGUCAGAGGUGAAAGCCCAGGGCUCAACCUUGGAAUUGCCUUUGAUACUGGCUAUCUUGAGUAUGGGAGAGGUAUGCGGAACUCCGAGUGUAGAGGUGAAAUUCGUAGAUAUUCGGAAGAACACCAGUGGCGAAGGCGGCAUACUGGCCCAUUACUGACGCUGAGGCUCGAAAGCGUGGGGAGCAAACAGGAUUAGAUACCCUGGUAGUCCACGCUGUAAACGAUGAGUGCUAGUUGUCGGCAUGCAUGCAUGUCGGUGACGCAGCUAACGCAUUAAGCACUCCGCCUGGGGAGUACGGUCGCAAGAUUAAAACUUCAAAGGAAUUGACGG
rnacentral:rRNA from 1 species